GGCACUACUCUAAGAUCAUAAUAAGAACCCAAAGCACAAAAGAGAUGGGAAGCAGGUGACAGAACUGAUGUAUGUAUUUUUACAGACAGGUCUUCCCUCAGAGUGCUGUGAUUGCUGUGUGUCCUCUAAGUGUGCCAUUGUUUAACACCCCUUUAAAACUGAAUGCAUUUAGAGCCGACUGAGUCCCCUUGGGAUUUGUAAAAUAAGUCUGGCAAAAUCCUCACUUCAAAAUAAGUGGGAGUGGGAUUCCAAAUUCAUUGGGAAAUUCUAAGAAGCUCAUCUGUCUUUAGACACUAAAAUAUUUUACUAAAUCUUGUCCUUAGUAAAACAGAUGCUGGGAUUUUUGCUUAUAAAAUUACUUAAAUUGAAGCAUGGAGACAAUAUAAGGAUGGGGAAAAGAAAAAUGCUAAGGAAUAGUUAAUAUGAUGUUCAAUAUUGAUACCCUAAGGCUGCUCUGGAUAUCUGGAGCCUUCAGCAUUCACUGAGAUUAAAAGGAGUUGCCCUCUGAGCAGCUUUGAACCUCCUGGCCACAACUCAGUGCUGACAAAUCAGGACUGAGCACACAUUAUCCUGGCCACUGUAUGAUCAGAGAGCAUCCAGCCCAUGGAUUAAAAGAAGCUCAGUUAUAGGUUUGACCUUGCAAAAGGAAAAAUUUCAAAACAAAACCAAACAAACCCUUGCUACCACACUUUUCUUUGACUCAGCAGAGCCUGAAGUGCUCUGGUAGUUUGUUAUACUACUUGCAUGAAUAGGACCAUUCAUAUUCUACAAUCAUCACACACCCUGACUCCAGUAGCCCUUAUUUGCAGAGACCACAUGGUCCCUGAGUUCUGAGUGUGAGAUGUGGCUCCUUCCUGGUGUAUUAUGAGUAUGGAGAUUUCAGGUUUACCCUGUUUAUAAACAGCUGUCCAUAGCAGCAGUGAAACAAAGGGUCAAUAACAGGAUUUUAGCUCCAGCCACCUCUGAGCUUGGAGGGGAGAAUCUAAAAAGUGUUGCUGGGUGGGGUUUGUUUGCGUGAUUGUUUGCAUGGUUGGAGUCAUGUGGAAUUUUACAUUAAUUCAAGCCUUACAGAUACAUCACCAUAGUGAGAUGCAUGGCUCCAUGAGACUGUUAUCUCUCUGGGCUAUGAACAUUUCAUUCUAUGCUUUUUCAGCACAUAGCGUGGUCUUUAAUUUGUGCUUUGGGUUGCUUACAAAGUGCAAAGAAUGGGUAUUCUGUGGUACAGUCUGUGGCUUUGCAUAUGAACACAAGAAUAAGCAACGCUUUGUGUGUUCCAUGCAGCAUCACGCUUCAGGAUAGAGGGGAGAAUUUUGCCUUUUAUUUUAAUUUGGAGACUGACUCAGGAAUUCUCAUAACAUAAACCUACAGUAACUUACACAGUAUUGGGCCCCACUUCAGGAAAAUACAAACGCACUUGCAGAAACUUAGAACAUAACUCCUACAGGAACCAAAUAAAUGCCUAAAGUUACGUGCCUGGCUGAGUGAAGUAUUCAAAUAUAUUCCUGUUAUGUAUGCAGAAAUCUUUUUAUUCUGUGUUACCUAGGCCUGUAAAGCCUUCCCAAGUCAUGUUCAGAAACAGAACACCACCUUAUGAUUUUCAAAAGCAUUUAAUGUUUUCAGGUGCCCAGCAUGACAUAUC
ensembl:lncRNA